rnacentral:rRNA from 1 species
CAGUCGCCGCGGGAAUACAGAGGAUGCAAGCGUUAUCCGGAAUGAUUGGGCGUAAAGCGUCUGUAGGUGGCUUUUCAAGCCCGCCGUCAAAUCCCAGGGCUCAACCCUGGACAGACGGUGGAAAAUACCAAGCUGGAGUACGGUAGGGGCAGAGGGAAUUUCCGGUGGAGCGGUGAAAUGCGUUGAGAUUGGAAAGAACACCAACGGUGAAAGCACUCUGCUGGGCCGACACUGACACUGAGAGACGAAAGCUAGGGGAGCAAAUGGGAUUAGAUACCCCCGUAGUCCCUGUCUCUUAUAC